GCUGGCUUAGAUCAAUGGUAGAUCGUCUCCCUCCUACGAAGAUCGUGCGAGGAGAAGGUUGCGGGUUCGAGUCCCGUGGUUAGUG
rnacentral:tRNA from 1 species